rnacentral:rRNA from 1 species
GAUGAACGCUGGCGGCGUGCCUAAUACAUGCAAGUCGAGCGAACAGACGAGGAGCUUGCUCCUCUGACGUUAGCGGCGGACGGGUGAGUAACACGUGGAUAACCUACCUAUAAGACUGGGAUAACUUCGGGAAACCGGAGCUAAUACCGGAUAAUAUAUUGAACCGCAUGGUUCAAUAGUGAAAGACGGCUUUGGUGUCACUUAUAGAUGGAUCCGCGCCGCAUUAGCUAGUUGGUAAGGUAACGGCUUACCAAGGCAACGAUGCGUAGCCGACCUGAGAGAGUGAUCGGCGACACUGGAACUGAGACACGGUCCAGACUCCUACGGGAGGCAGCAGUAGGGAAUCUUCCGCAAUGGGCGAAAGCCUGACGGAGCAACGCCGCGUGAGUGAUGAAGGUCUUCGGAUCGUAAAACUCUGUUAUUAGGGAAGAACAAAUGUGUAAGUAACUAUGCACGUCUUGACGGUACCUAGUCAGAAAGCCACGGCUAACUACGUG